CCCUAGCCCUGAUAGAAGCGGUAUCCUUUUUCUGGCUUCUUUAGACAGAAAAAGAUACAAGUGUCCCGAGGCUUCGGGAGCAGGAAACAGC
rnacentral:sRNA from 1 species